GUGGGGAAUAUUGGACAAUGGGCGAAAGCCUGAUCCAGCCAUGCCGCGUGUGAAGAAGGUCUUCGGAUUGUAAAGCACUUUAAGUUGGGAGGAAGGGCAGUAAGUUGAUACCUUGCUGUUUUGACGUUACCGACAGAAUAAGCACCGGCUAACUUCGUGCCAGCAGCCGCGGUAAUACGAAGGGUGCAAGCGUUAAUCGGAAUUACUGGGCGUAAAGUGCGCGUAGGUGGUUUUGUAAGUUGGAGGUGAAAGCCCCGGGAGCAACCGUGGAACUGCGUCCAAAACUGCAUGACUAGAGUACGGUAGAGGGUAGUGGAAUUUCCUGUGUAGCGGUGAAAUGCGUAGAUAUAGGAAGGAACACCAGUGGCGAAGGCGACUACCUGGACUGAUACUGACACUGAGGUGCGAAAGCGUGGGGGGCAAACAGGAUUAGAAACCCCAGUAGUCC
rnacentral:rRNA from 1 species